rnacentral:rRNA from 1 species
CUACGGGGUGCAGCAGUGAGGAAUAUUGCACAAUGGGGGGAACCCUGAUGCAGCAACGCCGCGUGGAGGAUGACGCAUUUCGGUAUGUAAACUCCUUUUAUAUGUCAAGAAAAUGACGGUAGCAUAUGAAUAAGCACCGGCUAACUCCGUGCCAGCAGCCGCGGUAAUACGGAGGGUGCAAGCGUUACUCGGAAUCACUGGGCGUAAAGGACGCGUAGGCGGGUUGGAAAGUCAGGUGUGAAAUCCUACAGCUUAACUGUAGAACUGCACUUGAAACUUCUAAUCUAGAGUAUGGGAGGGGGAGAUGGAAUUAGUGGUGUAGGGGAAAAAUCCGUAGAUAUCACUAGGAAUACCUAAAGCGAAGGCGAUCUCCUGGAACAUUACUGACGCUAAGGCGUGAAAGCGUGGGGAGCAAACAGGAUUAGAUACCCCCGUAGUC